UGGGGGAUAUUGCACAAUGGGCGAAAGCCUGAUGCAGCGACGCCGCGUGGGGGAUGAAGGCUUUCGGGUUGUAAACCUCUUUCGCUAUCGAACAAGGCCCGCUUAGGGUGGGUUGAGGGUAGGUGGAGAAGAAGCGCCGGCUAACUACGUGCCAGCAGCCGCGGUAAUACGUAGGGCGCGAGCGUUGUCCGGAAUUAUUGGGCGUAAAGGGCUUGUAGGCGGCUUGUUGCGCCUGCUGUGAAAACGCGGGGCUUAACUUCGCGCGUGCAGUGGGUACGGGCAGGCGUGAGUGUGGUAGGGGUGACUGGAAUUCCAGGUGUAGCGGUGGAAUGCGCAGAUAUCUGGAGGAACACCGAUGCGAAGGCAGGUCACUGGGCCAUUACUGACGCUGAGGAGCGAAAGCAUGGGUAGCGAACAGG
rnacentral:rRNA from 1 species